rnacentral:rRNA from 1 species
AGUGAACGCUGGCGGUAGGCCUAACACAUGCAAGUCGAACGGCAGCACAGUAAGAGCUUGCUCUUACGGGUGGCGAGUGGCGGACGGGUGAGGAAUACAUCGGAAUCUACUUUUUCGUGGGGGAUAACGUAGGGAAACUUACGCUAAUACCGCAUACGACCUACGGGUGAAAGCAGGGGAUCUUCGGACCUUGCACGAUUGAAUGAGCCGAUGUCGGAUUAGCUAGUUGGCGGGGUAAAGGCCCACCAAGGCGACGAUCCGUAGCUGGUCUGAGAGGAUGAUCAGCCACACUGGAACUGAGACACGGCCCAGACUCCUACGGGAGGCAGCAGUGGGGAAUAUUGGACAAUGGGCGCAAGCCUGAUCCAGCCAUACCGCGUGGGUGAAGAAGGCCUUCGGGUUGUAAAGCCCUUUUGUUGGGAAAGAAAAGCAGCAGGUUAAUACCCCGCUGUUCUGACGGUACCCAAAGAAUAAGCGCCGGCUAACUUCGUG